rnacentral:ncRNA from 1 species
UAACAAGCGUUGACGAAGAAGAGUAGCUUUAAUGAAUGCUUCAGAGAGCUGAUGGUUGGUGAGAAUCAGUGCAGACAUUUUAGUGAAUGGCCUUCCGAGCUUCCGUACCGAACUCCUUUGGACAGUAGGCUGCGGCGAACGUCUUAUCGUUACAAAAGACAGGCAUUCAAGCAGUAAGCUUCGAUGCUAUUAGAGUGGAUUGCACGAACUGCAAUCAAUAAAGGUGGUACCACGGCUCCCCGUCCUUUGC